GCGAGGCUACAUGCUCAACAACACGUUUUGUGCAAGUGCAGCCUUUGAAGAAGGUUGUUUUGGUUAUAGUGCGGUACCGCUUAUAGUGCGGGAUAUUCGUGACUCCGGCGACUUACAUUAUAAGCGGUCUAUGCUGUAUACACACACCGCUUGUUGUG
rnacentral:lncRNA from 1 species